rnacentral:rRNA from 1 species
UAGAGGAAGUAAAAGUCGUAACAAGGUUUCCGUAGGUGAACCUGCGGAAGGAUCAUUAUCGAUUCUCCUUUGAAGGAGGUUUGGGCUGUGCUGGCCUUUYCGAAGGCAUGUGCACGUCCUCACAUCCGUACCCAUACACCUGUGCACCUGUUGUAGGUCUCGCAAGGGAUCUAUGUUAUCUUUGAUAAACACCUUGAUGUAUGUCCUUAGAAUGUCCUUAUGAUUGUCUUUGCUGCUCGAUUUAUUUUGAGUGGUGGGGAUGAAAUAUAUUAUAACUUUCAGCAAUGGAUCUCUUGGUUCUCGCAUCGAUGAAGAACGCAGCGAAUUGCGAUAUGUAAUGUGAAUUGCAGAUUUUCCGUGAAUCAUCGAAUCUUUGAACGCACCUUGCGCUCCUUGGUAUUCCAAGGAGCAUGCCUGUUUGAGUGUCAUUAAAUUCUCAACUAAUCUUCCUUUCGGGGUUGUGAGGUUGGAUUGUGGGGGGUUUUGCUGGCAGCCUUUUCUUGUCAGCUCCUCUGAAAUGCAUUAGCAAAAGGGAAGCCCGUCUGUCUCGAUAAAGGCUUUUGUCGGUGUGAUAAUGAUCGCCGUAGAUGGCUUGAAGGGAUGGGGCUYCGUUUGAUGCUUACAGCUUUGAAUGGAUUGUUGUGGUGAUCACGACGAUGCCAUCUUUUGACUUUUUGACCUCAAAUCAGGUAGGAUUACCCGCUGAACUUAAGC